rnacentral:rRNA from 1 species
CCCUAUGGGGUGCACCAGGCCCAGUAGCGUCAAGCACACUCGCCAAUUCACCGGUGUUUGCCGGGUGGCGUUGCGCGUGCCAGUCUGCCUGUGGGGGGAGCAAGAGCAACCCAGUCAUUAUGUCUGGGACGGCAGGAAGCUCGUCGUCAGGACUAUGACCUGGGCACGUUUCCCCGCAAUCUACGGCCGGCAGGGGCGCCGGCCGCUACAGUGCACGGGCGGCCGCUACAAGCCGGGGACGCCGGCGGUUAAUAUCGUGGGACUAUGAACACGGAUUUCCUUGCUGAUCUCGAACAACGCGAUCUGGUGAACCAGGUGUCCUCGCCGGCGCUGGCGGAGGCGCUGAAGGCCGGGAAGGUGACCGCUUACAUCGGGUUCGACCCGACCGCGGACAGCCUGCACAUCGAGAGC